UUUCUCAAAGAGCUUCUCAUAUGUAUUCGAAGUUCGUGUACUCUAGCUUGGAAGUAACCAUCUCCACUGUGGUCCCAGUGGACAUUUUCAUCUUAACUUUUCCUGUACUUCAACAUCCUUUCAGUUCAAGGAAGUUUUCCAAAUAUGCCAUACUCAAUUUGCUGUCGGAACUUUUUUCUGCUCUCUGGCAUAUCUUUAAUAUAUCCCCCUUCUUCUCUUGAUUUAUUUAGAUACCUCAAGCUUCAGCUUAUGACCCACAUUCAUGAAGCAUUUCUGAUUGUGUUGCCAUAUUGCUCAACCCAAGAAGACACCAUUACAUAUUUAUGUUCCAGGGAGGACACUUCUUGUUUACUCUCUGACAUUACCCUUUCUUCCAUUUGGACUUGAAUCUUAUGUAAUAUGUAACUGAUGUCAUUCUGGGGAUUCAUCAUUUCAAUGCCUGAGUUGUAUCAUGUCCUGAAUAUAAUCUUCCCUUCCCUGUCUAUUCUUGCAUUCCUAUCUAAUCCUUCUCUUCUUCAGCUUGUCAAUCUUCUCCCUGGCUUCACAGUAUUAGCAUAUAUUUAUUUAACACUUGCUGUGUCUUGGAAUGUUUACAAUAACAGAUGUCCAGUAUUGGACAAAUCAGAUUUGAUCUUUGCUUUAGUGCAAAAUAAAGUCACCCUUCACAUCACUGUAUGUUAAUUAGUACAUGGAACUUAUAGGAAUAAGCUCUUCAGGACAAAAAUCCCAGAUGCUAGUGUGGGCUGACAGGGUCAUGAAAUUACGGGUAGACACAGCCAUUUAUUUCAGGAACAUCUUUCGGAAUCACCUCUGAGUCAUUCAUACUGUUCCCCAUAGGGAGGGGUAGCAGAUCUCACCUCUGCCAAAAUACCUUCAUUUUUUUGUUGUUAUUGUUGCCUCCUAGAUACUCUAUUUGUGCAGAAUGUGAAGUAUAGUCAGUCUAUAGUCAUUACAUCCACCUCAUGAGUACAUGUACUCUUCUCAAUACAUGCCUGCAAUGUGCAGGUGUAUGAAACUGGUGUAUUUUUACUUUAUUUUUCUUGUAUUACAUAUGGAUGUGUAAGAUUCUCAAAGGUAAGAAGCAGAACUUCUCUUGGGUUUAUAAAACACAUUCUGAAGGGAGUCAGCAAUCCAGCUGGUGACAACAGCCUCCACUUAAAUAUCCAAAGAUAUA
rnacentral:lncRNA from 1 species